UCUCCGUUGGUGAACCAGCGGAGGGAUCAUUACAGGACUCGCAAGACUCCUUCACCCUGUGAACCUCACUACAAGCACGUUGCUUCGGCGGGUGUCCCGGCGGGGGUUUUCCCUCGCCGGGGCGCACAGCCCGCCGGCAGCCUACUAUACUUUGUCUCUUUGCGUUGGCAUCUCGAGAAAAAACAAACAAGUUAAAACUUUCAACAACGGAUCUCUUGGUUCUG
rnacentral:misc_RNA from 1 species